rnacentral:rRNA from 1 species
AGUGGCGGACGGGUGAGUAACACGUGGGUAACCUACCCAUCAGAGGGGGAUAACACUUGGAAACCGGAGCUAAUACCGGAUAAUAUUUCGAACCGCAUGGUUCGAUAGUGAAAGAUGGUUUUGCUAUCACUUAUAGAUGGACCCGCGCCGUAUUAGCUAGUUGGUAAGGUAACGGCUUACCAAGGCGACGAUACGUAGCCGACCUGAGAGGGUGAUCGGCCACACUGGAACUGAGACACGGUCCAGACUCCUACGGGAGGCAGCAGUAGGGAAUCUUCCGCAAUGGGCGAAAGCCUGACGGAGCAACGCCGCGUGAGUGAUGAAGGUCUUCGGAUCGUAAAACUCUGUUAUUAGGGAAGAACAUACGUGUAAGUAACUGUGCACGUCUUGACGGUACCUAAUCAGAAAGCCACGGCUAACUACGUGCCAGCAGCCGCGGUAAUACGUAGGUGGCAAGCGUUAUCCGGAAUUAUUGGGCGUAAAGCGCGCGUAGGCGGUUUUUUAAGUCUGAUGUGAAAGCCCACGGCUCAACCGUGGAGGGUCAUUGGAAACUGGAAAACUUGAGUGCAGAAGAGGAAAGUGGAAUUCCAUGUGUAGCGGUGAAAUGCGCAGAGAUAUGGAGGAACACCAGUGGCGAAGGCGACUUUCUGGUCUGUAACUGACGCUGAUGUGCGAAAGCGUGGGGAUCAAA